rnacentral:sRNA from 1 species
CAUUGAUUCACGCCGUUUCAGUUUUUUUUCCAUCUCU